rnacentral:lncRNA from 11 species
GGAAUCUGUCAGGCAAGUGGCAGAUCAAGCGCAGGAGACAAGCAGCCCCGUGCAGCUCAGAUUUCCACUCCUGUUUAUCAAUGGAUACACUCGGGAGAUUCAGUAGCUCUAUAAAAAGCAGGAGUCACUUUUGUAUGGUGGGGAUAAUUCUGAAAAGCCUUUUAAGUUUACAGCUGCUUCGGAUCUCUUUAGACACAGUUCUCUGCCCCCUCAAUGCAAGCACGAGAAGACCAAUAAAUUUUUCUUGGUGUUCUGCCUACUGGGAUUCCUGUUUUUAAAAGUCUCAAGCAUCCGAAUUCAUGUCAAAGCCACCACUUUAUUUUUAUUUUCCUUUAUUUCUGUAAAAAUGUUACUGCAGGGAUUUUUUUUUAAAUGUGCUCUGUCUCUGGCAUCUCUCCCUGCCAAAGGGGGGGGGGGGGGAGAGAGAGAGAGAGGAGGAGGCCGGGAAGAAUACAAGAGACACUUCAAAGUCAGACUCCGAUCCGAUCCAGCACAAGAGCAAUCUACAAGUGAGAUAUUCCAGCAAAGGGAUCUUUUUAGAGUUUGAAUUCUAGAAGAGUGGAAUGGCAUUUCCUGUGGACAGCAUCAUCCAGUUGUGGAAUGGGGAACUAGAAAAAAACAGCUCAACUUCCCACCCAAGCUGUGACUCUUGAGAAGACACAUCACCUUGAAAACACUCAACCUCCCUAACCUCCAUGGCACUGAUCGGGUUAGCAGAGCAUCACCCUUGGCCCUUUAAUUACACAUCUUUGCAACCAUUAAUCCUGGUGCCAUCAAUUACUGGAGCUUUAUCCCAUUCAUUUUUAAAAGAAAAAAAGCAUCAGGGGUCUAGCAAGCAGUCAAGUACUUCUCUCCUCUACCUGUCAAUUACAGAGCAUCGUAUACCUCUAUAGCGUAAGUUGCUAUAUGCACAUUCAGACUGUUCAGCAACCAACCACACACACAGUCCCAUCCCAUUCGUUACUUGAUUCCAUUCUAUUUCUCUAUCAACUCAUCUUCUUAGCACCAAACCUUCCAAAGAGUAUCUCCUACAGCAAAGAUAGUUUGAAGCACUGAAAAAAGGAAUACAAUUCAGCAGAGCAGAAGCCUCUAUGUAACGAAAUAACAGGAAAAAAAGAGUCAAGUUACAAUAAUGAAAACCAUCAUCAUCAUCCUUGAAAUGCAUAAAGCAUUGCGCUUAGAAAAGCACAAAGCUUCUCACUAAAAGAGCAUAUUAGUACUACAGAGUUGCCAUUUUGUAAGAGAUGGGUUGCACUUUGGACACUAACAACAACUUGAUGAUAAUUUCCCUUUGAUAUUAUUAUGCCAAUGAUGAUUUUCCUCUUUCACAUAUGUAUAUACUUCCUCCUGUUCCUCUGUCUGCAAAAGUACCAUAACUUAAGUGUGGUUUCCAUCAUAUGGGGAUCAGGAAGACAGCAGGGCUGUACCUAUCUUUAAUGACUACAAUAUUUUCAAAGUGGGGGAAGGAAAAUAUGUGGCUAUCAAUAUCAUUUCAGUGCAGUAUAUUACAAAUGGGUGUGGUGCUCAUGACUGGAUUAUUUUGUUGUUGUAGAUCAGGGCGUCUUA